rnacentral:tRNA from 1 species
GCGAGAGUGCUGGAAUGGUAGACAGGCACGUUUGAGGUGCGUGUGUCCUAUGGCGUGGGAGUUCGAGUCUCCUCUCUCGCACCA